rnacentral:SRP_RNA from 1 species
GCUAGACAUGGUGGCACAUAUCUGUAAUUCCUUCUACCAGGAAGCUGUGGCUGGCGGAUCCCUUGAUCUUGAGAGCUCUGAGCUGCAGUAGGGCUAAGACUGAUAUGGUGAGUGCCCAGGAGCAGGAGGUCACCAACCUGCCUACAGAUGAGUGAACUGACCCAGGUUGGAAAUGGAGCAGGUCAAAGCUUUCAUGAUGGUCAGCAGUUGGACUGAGCCUAAAAGUGGCAUCUGUACUGGUGAGAUAGGCAGAUCCAGUCUUUA